rnacentral:misc_RNA from 1 species
AACGCACAUUGCACUCCUUGGUAUUCCGAGGAGUAUGCCUGUUUCAGUAUCAUGAGCACUCUCACAACUAACCUUUGGGUGAAAUUGUGGAAUUGGAAUGCGCUGAUUGUAAUAAUCAGCCCUUCUAAAAUAUAUUUCAUGACUGUCACCUAACACAGCAGUUUGGCCUAAUAGUUUUGACAUUGAUUUGUCAAGUCUUUGGCUUACAUUUGCUUCAGGUUGUCAGUUUUGAUAAUACAGAAAACUCAUUCAAAUUUUGAUCUGAAAUCAGGUAGGGCUACCCGCUGAACUUAA